GAUGAACGCUGACAGAAUGCUUAACACAUGCAAGUCAACUUGAAUUUGGGUUUUUAACUUAGAUUUGGGUGGCGGACGGGUGAGUAACGCGUAAAGAACUUGCCUCACAGCUAGGGACAACAUUUAGAAAUGAAUGCUAAUACCUGAUAUUAUGAUUUUAAGGCAUCUUAGAAUUAUGAAAGCUAUAAGCACUGUGAGAGAGCUUUGCGUCCCAUUAGCUAGUUGGAGAGGUAACAGCUCACCAAGGCGAUGAUGGGUAGCCGGCCUGAGAGGGUGAACGGCCACAAGGGGACUGAGACACGGCCCUUACUCCUACGGGAGGCAGCAGUGGGGAAUAUUGGACAAUGGACCGAGAGUCUGAUCCAGCAAUUCUGUGUGCACGAUGAAGUUUUUCGGAAUGUAAAGUGCUUUCAGUUGGGAAGAAAAAAAUGACGGUACCAACAGAAGAAGUGACGGCUAAAUACGUGCCAGCAGCCGCGGUAAUACGUAUGUCACGAGUGUUAUCCGGAUUUAUUGGGCGUAAAGCGCGUCUAGGUGGUUAUGUAAGUCUGAUGUGAAAAUGCAGGGCUCAACUCUGUAUUGCGUUGGAAACUGUAUAACUAGAGUACUGGAGAGGUAAGCGGAACUACAAGUGUAGAGGUGAAAUUCGUAGAUAUUUGUAGGAAUGCCGAUGGGGAAGCCAGCUUACUGGACAGAUACUGACGCUAAAGCGCGAAAGCGUGGGUAGCAAACAGG
rnacentral:rRNA from 1 species